rnacentral:tRNA from 1 species
UCUAGAAUGGCAGAUAGAUGUAUAGGAUUUAAGCUCCUACUAGGAAAAUUUUUUUUCUUCUAGAA